rnacentral:rRNA from 1 species
UACAGAGGUCUCAAGCGUUGUUCGGAUUUAUUGGGCGUAAAGGGUGCGUAGGCGGUCUAUUAAGUCAGGGGUGAAAGCCCCAAGCUUAACUUGGGAACUGCCAUUGAUACUGAUGGUCUUGAGUACAUUUGAGGUGGGCGGAAUGUGUCAUGUAGCGGUGAAAUGCUUAGAUAUGACACAGAACACCGAUUGCGAAGGCAGCUCCCUAAGCUGUAACUGACGCUGAGGCACGAAAGCGUGGGGAGCAAACAGG